UUUAUUUUAAGGCUACAAACGGCUCUCCAUAAUUUUGAAGUCCAACUUAGAGUUAAGUUUGACUUAUGAUCUUUGUGAGACACGCCCCCAGGUCCUGGUAGAUGGUUCCAGGGUCUAACAGUGCGUGGAAAGAAAGAGUCAACGAAUUCAGUAGUCAAUGGGUUGAUAGAGAACAUUUGGUUUUCCAUUUGUGAUCUUUCAUCUUUGUCCAUAUGCAUGUCUCUUUUUACAAUGCACAAAGUUUAGUUUAAGAUAAUUAGUCACCUUUUAGAAUUCUCUUUCGUUCAUCUCACUUCAACUCAUUGUGUGAAUAUACAUAUUUUUGUGAUGUGUUACUUUCAGAUUUUACUUAAAAUUAUAGAAGAGAGAAAAACAAACAAACAGCCUGGCAGCCUUAGAUAUUUUCAACUGCUUGUAGAAGUUUUAAACUCCUCUUCCUAUUUAUAUUUUAAAAUUCAUGUUUGUAUAUCACUGCAGGUCAGUAUAUUUAUGUCAUUCCUAAAGACUUGUUUGCACGCAAUGCUGCAGUAAGUCAACCCAGCAGACUGCCGCAGUAAAUUAUAAAUCUGUUUAACGUUUUAAUGAUUGUCAACUGGGGUGUGGAAAAUCAUCUGUUACACAGGCCCCUAAGCGUACUUCUCUUUGUGCUGGAAGAUAUAUUAAGUGCUAUGCCAGUGUUAAUUUACUUUGCCUUCUCAGUUUUGACAGUUAACCUUAUCUGCCGAGGCUUCAUCUUAAUCCAAUGUACUUCCAAAAUCAGUAUAAAAUCAUGCCAAUGAAAAAUAAGAAAUAGAAAUGACGUGCCUAGAAUAUUUAGCAAAGCUUCAUACUAAAAUAGUCUUUUUGAUGAAUGAAAAUGAAAAUACUGUAUUUUGCAAAGGGAAAGCACCAUACAAAAUUUUGCAUCAUAGAUAUAUUUUCUGUCAGCAAAUACCACAUGUAUUUUUGCUUCAAUAUAAACAUGUACAUGCAGUGCCAAAUGUGUGAUAAGUACUUCACUGUACCAUGCCAGUUACAUGAUUUUAAAGGCCUGUAUAAGAAAUCAUUUAGUAUGUAUAGAAUAACACAUGUUUUAUUUCAUACCCCUCAGAAAUUAAAAAAGGUUUUUGGACCUAUAUGUAACUCUAUUGUCAUUUUAAGGUAAGUGCAGACAUGUACUUGUAUGUCAUCCACUUUUUAUUCAAUGCUGUGUUAAAGACAUAUAUAGUGUAUUUCGGAGUAAAAAAUUGUAUGCAGUUCCAUCUUAAGAUGUAUAUUUCAUAUAUAUAUAUAUAUAUAUGAAAGAAAAAUGCUCAGUAUUACAUUGUAUUAUAAAUGUAGAUAAAUUCAUGUUAAUGAUUGUAUCUUAAGCACAGGUGAAUGGGUUACAAUGUAGAUAGAAAGUUGUAUGAAAUCGCUUUAAGUCGGGGUGAAAUUUGUAUAGAUAAUUAAAUGAAAAUAUAUGCCUAAAAUUGCCAAUCAGUUUAAAACAAAAUGAGUUAGUGAUAUUCUGUGUAAUCUAAAUAUGUAUUUGGGCCCCUUCAAGCACAGCUAACUUUUGGACCAUGCUAUACAUGUAUAUGAAAAUGUCAGAAUUUAUCAUUUAACACCAGUAUACCUGCCUUUUUUAGUCCACAUCAUGUGUUUUAAUAUAAUUUAUUUUAGACAAUGUGUAUUGUUAUAAUAGACUUUUCUCCUGUAUGAUAUGCUACUGUUAAGUUGAAAAAUUAGCCAGAGUCUUAAAAUGCGUUCUUAUAUAGAUCAUUAUUUAGAUUUUUUUUGUUAAUAACUGUAAAGUAAAAUAUACUUAACGUUAGACUUUUCUCCCAUCCAUAUCUUGUUUCAUAAUUAUCAUCCCCAAGUCUUCCAUUACAUUACUUGUAGCAUCAUUUUACAGGGUCAAAAUACAUAUUUAUGCAGAAAUUUGCUUUUUUUUGUAAUGCAGAAGUUUUUCUGACCAAAGUGAAAUCAAGACAACUUUUUUAAUAUGACGUACAAAUGGUCUCUCUCUCUAUUACUCUUUCUCUGCUCUCUCUCAUUAUAUUGCAUUUAAGACUUGGGAUCUUGCAGAAACCAUGUUAAAUAGGAGUAUUUAACAAGUCUUAGUAAUGGUGUACUCACCUCUUGGUUAAACAUAUAUAUUGAACUGCAAGGGAAACAAUGAAUACAUUGCAAUAGGCCUUAAUGAAGUUGCCCCCUUAAACAAAAUGACGAUUAACAGUAACACCAGUUAGAAUUAGUGUAGUUUAUGUAGAUUAGAGAGUUCAUACUUCCCUGGAUGAGAAUUGUAAAUAUGCCGCAUUUAUUUUAUUUUCCAUCAUAUUAUAGUGACAGACCACCUGUUUUAGCAUAACUGUAAUUUUUAAUUUUUUAUUUUGUUCUUUGUAUCAUUGUUAUGAAGGAGACACUAAGCAGCAAGCCUCUUGUUUAUCCCUCACCAAUUGUGUAAAUGCCAUCAUUAUACUAAUAUAUCAUGUCAAAUUGCAAGUUAAUGUACCGAAUUAUAUAUAUUCACAGAUGAUAUUGAAAUAAAUGGACUAUUUUAUAGAA